GCGCCGUUGGUCCAGCGGUUAAGAUUUUACCCUCCCAAGGUAGAGACCCGGGUCCGACUCCCGGACGGCGCA
rnacentral:tRNA from 1 species